CGCACGGUUGGCCAAGAGCAUGUCCAGUGCCCUCUGGGAUCCGCUCUUUCCCUGAAUAUUGGAAGGACUCCCAAAAGAAAGGAAAUUUCUUUCUGCUUUAAAAAGCCUGAUCUAGCUUGUUGAAACACCAGUCUUACCAAAAAGCAGACUUUCUUGGCCGUGGAGGAAAGGGCUGACUUUGUUCCUGGUGGAGGUCGCAUUACAAUCUCUUGGAAGUUUAGCUAACUCCUGGUCUGAAGGAUGCGACAACGCUUCUCCUAGGAACCAGAGCCUCGGGGGAGAGGAGGCGGAGAGCAGCCGCUUCUCCUAACGUCGAUACUGCUUUCCGUAACGCGCCGUGAGCUUCAGAGUGGUGCCAGAUGCUGAGUAGCACGGGUGACUCUGUUCUCACUUUGCCAUAGCCCAAGC
ensembl:lncRNA